UGGCCAGUCGGGUGAGCACCGUCUUGUCUUGGGAGUCGAACUGAAUCAUUACACCAUUGUCGAUUCAACGGCCAUGGAUUAGUGAUGAUCAUGCACAAUUUAUCUGGAGGGUGGCGGUAGUGCGCUAAGUUAGUCCGCAUCCGCUGUUAAACAAGCAACUGAAGAAGAGUAGAAGAACGGCCAUAGAUGCGCUUGCCUUAGUUGAGUGUGGAGACUCCAAUGUUUGGCAUGGAAAAUCACUGCAGUGACCGCACACAACCUCCGGUAAGUAAUUGCAAAGUUUAUUUCAGUGCUGUUGCCACACAAUAUGUUUUUGAGGUGUCCUUACAUGCAGAAUCCCUUUCAGUCUUAUGGCUAAGAAACCGAGAAUGUGCAACACCUUUUUACCAGAAACCUGCCUGGUUUCAUUCAUCAGCCCAACUCCAUAAAUUACAGGGCAGGCCAGUAGAAUUAGUUUUUUUAUGUUGGAGGAAGACCUGUCUUUUAAGUUUCAUGUUGAGAAUUACUCACCAAGAGGAAUGAAUGGAAUAAUAUUUAUAUUUAAAAAAUAGUGUUGGGGAAAGAAAAAGCGGAAUCAAUUUGUGGCCCUUUAUGUUGAUUCUUUGGUGCUGCGCCACACAUUGGUCUAUGGAUGGAGAAAACAUUGUAGUUAGGUUAAUGAUGGGUUGGAUGGGGUGAUGUUCAAAUAAUAUGUUACAGUGGAUAUAAGCAAAUUGCACAUUUCUUAUCAAUGGUUGCCUGUUCCAGAGAUAAUAUCCAAUCUGAUAAUUUUAAGGUACAACAUAGUGGUGUUUGGAAUCAUCGAUGGCUUUUCCCGGAAGGUUUUGUACCUCAAUGCGGCUGGGAAUAAUAAGGCAGAGACUGGUUUGAGGUUUUUCAUGGAGAGUGUGCAGAAACAUGGAUGGCCAUCAAGAGUACGCGGUGACCAAGGCGUAGAAAAUGUGGAGAUAGCAAGAUCCAUGUUCACUGUGCGAGGAACAGGUCGUGGCAGCUUUAUAGCUGGGAAAAGUGUGCACAACCAAAGGUGAAGAUGGUCUAUGUUAUUACUUUCCUCUCAAUCCAGGGUUCACAUUGUAUCCUACCUACAGUGAGCUACAUCCAUCCCAACAAUUAGCUUGAUUAUGUUUGACACCUGAUAGUAACCUGAUUGCAAGUCCCCCAAACUACGGGGGUAUUACAUAUACAUCCUAGGGGGAGCCUUGUCUGUUUUUUUUCAGGCAUGAAGAACUGCUCUACAGAUAUCGUUUGAGAGGUAUUACCUGAAGUAGACUGAUAUCUAGCGGAAUAGACAAGAAGCCACAGGCACCAAAGCUGAUACUAGUCCAGACUACCGUUUUGACAAAAGCAUUACUUCUGCCCUUGGCAUCGAUUGACUAAUCAUUACAAUUGAUGCCGCUGUUUAUUAAACUUCAGAGUGGAAAAGACACUUUCCCUUACACUAGACCAACCGUCAGUCAAUUGGAUUCUAACUUUUGUAGCCAGGCUAAUAUAAUUUUGUAAAUACUAGUAUUUUUUUUCUCAGUGCAAUUGACCACUUUACCAUGUAACAAAUUUGCAGAGUGGAAUGACUAUGGAGAGAUGUGUGAAACGCUGUAACAUCUCAGUACUACAACAUGCUUCACACCUUGGAGGAAGAGGGGUUUGUAGACCUCUCAAAUGUUGUUCACCUCUUCUGUCUUGGGUACGUUUUCAUUCCACGUCUACAAGCAGACCUUCAAAACUUUGUAGAGACAUGGAAUUGUCACCCCUUGAGGACCGAAGCAAACCUGACCCCUAAUCAGCUUUGGAGAAUUGGGAGGAUGCAAGUACCGUUGCAAGAGCCAGAUCUGUCUGAGAUCGAACACUUGCAUGACCAGGAAGCUUGUGGUGCUGAUCCAGAACAUGGAGUCAUAGUACCAGAAACUGCAUGCCCCUUGUCAGCUGAGGCUAUUGCGGCCUUACAAGAUAUUAACUCCACUGCAGAGUCCUCUUCUCUUGGGCGGGAUAUCUAUAUGCAUGCUCUUCAAUUGGUCUCAUUCCUUUUGAUGCAGCAAAGUUGGUGAUGACGGUGAUGUGGGGUUCCAACAACUACAAGAGGACCUAAGGGCCAUAUCCACACAGCAACUCCUUACACAAGCAACAAUGGGAUAAAGCAGUCUCCGUGUAAGAGACCUCCAAUGCCUGCUCUAUAGUGAUAGGGUAAUGGUGGCCAUAAUAUGAAAAAUUGUCAGAAUGUUCAGUUUGUGUUAACUGUUUCUAGGACAUGUUGAAUCAACUGUAUGAUCUUUUGUAAGGAUCUCUUUCUCCGCACUAGCAUGUCAAUCAGCUGUGCAAGGAGGCUCCAGCCCACAAGUGUUUUUUUUGUGACACAUUCUGGUAAUAAACUGAUAGUUGGUGAUCUUA